UGACAAAAUCUCUGUCGCUGACAAUUGCAGCAUUCCCUUUGCACUCAUAAGCCUGUGAGUCAGCUGGGGGCCUCUCUCACUGCAGACCCUGCUGGCUCUGCUCCACAAGUCUCUCACCUUCCUGGGACCAGAGAAGCCAGUUGGGGAGUGUUCUUUUCAUAGUGAAGGCUGAGCAUAGGCUGGCAAAUGGAAAUGCAUGAUGCUUCCUAAGGCCUCAGACCUAGCAACUAUCAGUUCCACUUUCCUCGUCUUAUAAAAUUCUUCUUCUCAAUGACACCAGCAUCAUUAUUGAUUUGCUUUCUACUAACACACAAAUAGCCUCUGAAUAAGAAUGCCAACACUAUCACCAAAAAGGCCCGCAGCUUUCAUAAGAAGGCAGGAGUUUCUGGAGAAGAGCGUUGUGUUCCUCAGUCUGUAGACCCCGAGACACUGAUUCACGGCAAGACUCACCGUGACAAGAAUAUAAACAUCUCUUCAUUUGAUGAGGAAGAAAAGCUUUGAUGAAGAAACUUGACAAGAACUUUACAAGGAAGAAAAAUUACCAACCAAUUUCUCCUAUCAACGUAGACGAAGAAUUCUAAACAAAAUGUGAGCACAUUGAAUUCCAUUUUAUGUAAAUAGGAUAAAACAUUAUGACAAAAUCACGUUUAUUGAACAAUGCAAGAUUGGUUUGCUAUUCAAAAAUCAAUGAAAUAUGAAUACAUAUGUAGAGAGACUAAAUGUUAAGAAACUCGUGA